rnacentral:rRNA from 1 species
AACGAACGCUGGCGGCACGCCUCAUACAUGCAAGUCGAGUGCGAAACCACCUUCGGGUGAUGUAGAGCGGCGGACGGGUGAGUAACAGGUGGAUAAUCUGCCUUCCGGAGGGGGAUAACGGCUGGAAACGGCCGCUAAUACCGCAUGUCGUUGUGGGCUACCGGAUUUCACAAAAAAAGGCGCUUCGGCGUCACCAGAAGAUGGGUCCGCCCCCCAUUAGCUAGUUGGUGUGAUAAUAGCGCACCAAGGCUGUGAUGGGUAGCCGAGCUGAGAGGUUGAUCGGCCACACUGGAACUGAGACACGGUCCAGACACCUACGGGUGGCAGCAGUAGGGAAUAUUGCGCAAUGAACGAAAGUUUGACGCAGCGAUGCCGCGUGAGUGAAGAAGGUUUUCGGAUUGUAAAACUCUUUUGUCAGGGAAGAAAUGUAGAGGGAGGUAAUGCCCUUUGCUUGACGGUACCUGGCGAAUAAGGGACGGCUAACUCCGUGCCAGCAGCCGCGGUAAUACGGAGGUCCCAAGCGUUGUUCGGAUUUACUGGGCGUAAAGGGAGCGCAGGCGGAUAGGUCAGUUUAAAGUGGAAUCCCAGGGCUCAACCCUGGAAGUGCUUUGGAUACUGCCUAUCUUGAGUUCGUGAGAGGAAAGUGGAAUUCAGGGUGUAGCGGUGAAAUGCUUAGAUAUCCUGAGGAACACCAGUGGCGAAAGCGACUUUCUGGCACGAAACUGACGCUGAGGCUCGAAAGCGUGGGUAGCGAACGGGAUUAGAUACCCCGGUAGUCCACGCCGUAAACGUUGUGUACUAGGUGCAGGAGGUAUCGACCCCUUCUGUGCCGCAGCUAACGCAUUAAGUACACCGCCUGGGGAGUACGCACGCAAGUGUGAAACUCAAAGGAAUUGACGGGGGCCCGCACAAGCGGUGGAGCAUGUGGUUUAAUUCGAGGCAACGCGAAGAACCUUACCCAGGCUUGACAUCCUAGGAGUGACCAUCUGUGAAAGCAGAUUUUCCUUCGGGACAGUCUACGAGGUGCUGCAUGGUUGUCGUCAGCUCGUGCCGUGAGGUGUCGGGUUAAGUCCCAUAACGAGCGCAACCCCUAUCUUUAGUUGCCAUCAGAUAAUGCUGGGGACUCUAAAGAAACUGCCUACGCAAGUAGUGAGGAAGGUGGGGAUGACGUCAAAUCAGCACGGCCCUUACGUCCAGGGCUACACACGUGCUACAAUGGUCGAUACAGAGGGCAGCUACCUGGUGACAGGAUGCAAAUCUCGAAAAUCGAUCUCAGUUCGGAUCGAAGUCUGCAACUCGACUUCGUGAAGUUGGAUUCGCUAGUAAUCGCAUAUCAGCCAUGAUGCGGUGAAUACGUUCCCGGGCCUUGUACACACCGCCCGUCAAGCCAUGGAAGCUGGGAGUACCUGAAGUACGUGACCGUAAGGAGCGUCCUAGGGUAAAACUAGUAACUAGGGCU